GGAGGAGUUCCCGAGUGGCCAAAGGGGGCAGACUGUAAAUCUGUUAUCAGUGAUUUCGGUGGUUCGAAUCCACCCUCCUCCACCA
rnacentral:tRNA from 2 species